rnacentral:rRNA from 1 species
AGUGAACGCUGGCGGUAGGCCUAACACAUGCAAGUCGAACGGCAGCACAGUAAGAGCUUGCUCUUACGGGUGGCGAGUGGCGGACGGGGGAGGAAUACAUCGGAAUCUACUUUUUCGUGGGGGAUAACGUAGGGAAACUUACGCUAAUACCGCAUACGACCUACGGGUGAAAGCAGGGGAUCUUCGGACCUUGCGCGAGUGAAUGAGCCGAUGUCGGAUUAGCUAGUUGGCGGGGUAAAGGCCCACCAAGGCGACGAUCCGUAGCUGGUCUGAGAGGAUGAUCAGCCACACUGGAACUGAGACACGGUCCAGACUCCUACGGGAGGCAGCAGUGGGGAAUAUUGGACAAUGGGCGCAAGCCUGAUCCAGCCAUACCGCGUGGGUGAAGAAGGCCUUCGGGUUGUAAAGCCCUUUUGUUGGGAAAGAAAAGCAGCAGGUUAAUACCCCGCUGUUCUGACGGUACCCAAAGAAUAAGCACCGGCUAACUUCGUG